UUCCAUGGUCAUACCACCCUGAAUGCUGUAUCCAACCUAAGCAGGGCUGGGCCUGGUUAGUGCCUGGAUGGGAGAACUACAAAGAACUCUGGAGAAGGUCUAAA
ensembl:rRNA 5S_rRNA 5S ribosomal RNA